AAGGUUUCAUAUUGGAUAAGGAGAACGACUCCUUGCUCAAAGAGAACACGGGGAAGGAGUUAGAGGUUGAGAUCAGGUGCGAUCCAGAAGUGCAAACCAAUUUAGGGAAAUUAAUAACUUUUUGCUGAGAGAAUGAAUAACAAAGAAGAUAUCAAAAUGUCAAACUGGCAGAGAAAGAGAAAGAGAAAGGACGGACUAAAAAACAAAUGAGAAGAAUCAGAAGUGGAAGUAAAGCGGAAAUUGAAGUGAGGAGAAAUCUCAAGGAGUGGCUAGCUGAGCAAGGACUUUUCCAGAAGAAAGUCAAUUUAUCUAACCUCUGGGGCUACAAUUCAAGCCUUAUGUUGGCUCUUACCGUCUUGCACAAACUAAAGAUGCAAGUUAUGAUUGUUAAUUACCUCUUAUUGAUGUUCUAUUUUCUUUGAUUUGGUCAACAAUAUGGGAUCUUUGUUAUUGUUCAUUCACACUCAAUAUUUUUACUUUACUUUGUUGUUUGGUUGGUUGUUCUACUUUUCUUCUUUGAAGUUAAGGAGUAUUUAAGACUGCAAAAAUCAUGCAAAAUGUUCUUUGUUCUUUCCUUUUUCCGGCACAACAGAUUAUGGAACAUUAUGCAAAAAUCAUGAUUUCUUAGAUUGCUCUGUCUUGGAAUAACUUUAAGUUAUUUUCUAUUGGUAAUGACUUGAUGCAGGGUACAAAGGCGCUUUGUAGUGAUGGUGAUCAGUCAUUAAGAAAUAAGGACGACAGUUACGCUGAUUUUGAAAGUAAUUGGUACCUCAAUGUUUUAGAUUUACUAACAAUCCAUUUUCUUUUAAAUUAUGUUCAACAGAAACAAUUUUUAUGUAAAUUUUCGUUACUCCCUGUAUCUGCAUCUUUUAUAGAGAAUAGAAUAAAAGAUGGCCUUCUUUUUAAUGAAAGAUUUGAUUAAGUAAUCCAACUUCCUUAUAAGCAAGAAACCAGUGCCAGAUGCAUAUGGGUAAUAUCACGAAGCUAAGUUGUAUAUGCUGCAUUACUGAUUUCUAAUUGGCUUUGCUUACUAUCUUAAUUAUGUUUCAGAACCUAUCUAAAAUGAUCUUUGGACCGGAAGAAAUUUUCUCAUCAAAUUGAGGAAUUUUAACAAUUUGACAUGCCUGGUGUAAACAAGUUCUUCUCUGGGACACUCUCAAGUAUAAAAAUUAAAUUAUUAUCUGGAAUUUUUUUAUUUGUUAUAAGUGAAGAAACUUCUAUUCGCUAUGUGUUCAUUUCUCCAAUAAUGGCUAUAUAAAGCAACAGGUCUUUGUUGUCUUGCACAUACAACAGGAUUUUCUGUACUCAGAUAGAGUUUAAAAAAUGUUGAGAUCUCAUAGGAGGCCAAGAGUGAAAAGGUGAAAAAUCCCAGAAGCUGCGCUAUUCAGUAUUGGUGAAAGCACCGGAGGCAGUCGCAGAUCCACCUUGCCAAGUUGCCGUCAAAUUCACUUGUAAUGUCUUCAGAUUUCAACAAAAUUAUACAAUAGUAUUUUUGUGGAUCAUUCUGAACGGCUCUGGCACCAUCGCCAGACCAAGGCGGCGCGUUUUCAAAGAUUUCUCAAGCAACUUAUCUCGGUCAGAUUGGGAUUGACGUUUACCAAAGUGGACCUAUUAGUCUAUGAAAGCCUUAUAAGAAUCUGAAGUGAUACGUUUCUGUAUAAUACUUUCUUCCUUGUAUCCUUGAAGAAACAACGUAAUUUGGGAACCCUGAUCUUCCUUUUCAACACUGUCUGAGCCAACGACCUAUUUGGGAA